AUGGGCUCGAUAAAAGACAGAAAUGGUAUGGACCUAACAGAAGCAGAAGAUAUUAAGAAGAGGUGGCAAGAAUACAUGGAAGAACUGUACAAAGACAUCUUGGAAUGUGAAGUCAAGUGGGCCUUAGAAAGCAUCACUAUGAACAAAGCUACUGGAGGUGAUGGAAUUCCAGUUGAGCUGUUUAAAAUCCUGAAAGAUGAUGCUGUGAAAGUGCUGCACUCAAUAUGUCAGCAAAUUUGGAAAACUCAGCAGUGGCCACAGGACUGCAAAAGGUCAGUUUUCAUUCUGAUUCCAAAGAAAGGCGAUGCCAAAGAAUGCUCAAACUACCGCACAAUUGCACUCAUCUCACAUGUUAGUACAGUAAUGCUCAGGAUUCUCCAAGCCAGGCUUCAGCAAUACGUGAACCGUGAACUCCCUGAUGUUCAAGCUGGUUUUAGAAAAGGCAGAGGAACCAGAGAUCAAAUUGUCAACAUUCGCUGGAUCGUGGAAAAAGCAAGAGAGUUCCAGAAAAACAUCUAUUUCUGCUUUCUUGACUAUGCCAAAGCCUUUGACUGUGUGGAUCACAAUAAACUGUGGAAAAUUCUGAAAGAGAUGGGAACACCAGAGCACCUGACCUGCCUCUUGAGAAAUCUGUAUGCAGGUCAAAAAGCAACAGUUAGAACUGAACAUGGAACAACAGACUGGUUCCAAAUAGGAAAAGGAGUACGUCAAGGCUGUAUAUUGUCACCCUGCUUAUUUAACUUCCAUGCAGAGUACAUCAUGAGAAACGCUGAACUGGAAGAAACACAAGCUGGAAUCCAGAUUGCUGGGAGAAAUAUCAAUAACUUCAGAUAUGCAGAUGACACCACCCUUAUGGCAGAAAGUGAAGAGGAGCUGAAAGGCCCUUUGAUGAAAGUGAAAGAGGAGAGUGAAAAAGUUGGCUUAAAGCUCAACAUUCAGAAAACUAAGAUCAUGGCAUCUGGUCCCAUCACUUCAUGGGAAAUAGAUGGGGAAACAGUAGAAACAGUGUCAGACUUUAUUUUUCUGGGCUCCAAAGUCAUUGCAGAUGGUGACUGCAGCCAUGAAAUUAAAAGACGCUUACUCCUUGGGAGAAAAGUUAUGACCAACCUAGAUAGUAUAUUCAAAAGCAGAGACAUUACUUUGCCGACUAAGGUCCAUCUAGUCAAGGCUAUGGUUUUUCCUGUGGUCAUGUAUGGAUGUGAGAGUUGGACUUUGAAGAAGGCUGAGCACCGAAGAAUUGAUGCUUUUGAAAUGUGGUGUUGCAGAAGACUCUUGAGAGUCCCUUGGACUGCAAGGAGAUCAGCCCUGGGAUUUCUUUGGAAGGAAUGA
rnacentral:lncRNA from 1 species